rnacentral:rRNA from 1 species
GACGAACGCUGGCGGCGUGCUUAACACAUGCAAGUCGAACGGAAAGGCCCUGCUUUUGUGGGGUGCUCGAGUGGCGAACGUGUGAGUAACACGUGAGUAACCUGCCCUUGACUUUGGGAUAACUUCAGGAAACUGGGGCUAAUACCGGAUAGGAGCUCCUGCUGCAUGGUGGUGGUUGGAAAGUUUCGGCGGUUGUGGAUGGACUCGCGUCUUAUCAGCUUGUUGGUGGGGUAGUGGCUUACCAAGGCUUUGACGGGUAGCCCGCCUGAGAGGGUGACCGGCCACAUAGGGACUGAGAUACGGCCCAGACUCCUACGGGAGGCAGCAGUGGGGAAUAUUGCACAAUGGGCGGAAGCCUGAUGCAGCAACGCAGCGUGCGGGAUAACGGCCUUCGGGUUGUAAACCGCUUUCGCCUGUAACGAAGCGUGAGUGACGGUAAUGGGUAAAGAAGCACCGGCUAACUACGUG